rnacentral:rRNA from 1 species
AACGAACGCUGGCGGCAUGCCUAACACAUGCAAGUCGAACGAGACCUUCGGGUCUAGUGGCGCACGGGUGAGUAACGCGUGGGAACCUGCCCUUAGGUUCGGAAUAACUCCCCGAAAGGGGUGCUAAUACCGGAUAAUGUCUUCGGACCAAAGAUUUAUCGCCUUUGGAUGGGCCCGCGUUGGAUUAGCUAGUUGGUAGGGUAAAAGCCUACCAAGGCGAGGAUCCAAAGCUGGUCUGAGGGGGUGUUCAGCCACACUGGGACUGGGAAACGGCCCGAACCCUCCGGGAAGGAAGAAAGGGGGAAAGUGGAACACGGGCCGAAGGCUGAACCUCUCAUGGCCGGAGAAUUGUGAAGGGCUUUAGGUUGGAAAGGGUCUUUAACCCGGAAGGUUAUGAACGGACCGGGAAAAAAAGCCCCGGCUAACUCCGUG